rnacentral:misc_RNA from 1 species
UUGAUUGUUUUGUGUGGUACGUUUACUACUAGGUACUUCAGGGGUUGGUUUGGGGUCCUCGCUGGCGGGCGGACCCGCCGAGGAGACGCAGAUUUGCCAAUGACAGGGGUUUCUCUUCUCGGGCGGUCGGCGGGGGACCGACGCAGCCGAAGCUCGCCGCUCGACCCCACCUACAGGCCCAUACUUUUGGGGGUGGCCCUUCGCGAGCCGGGCCUGCGAUGCGCGGGCCCGGCCACUCUGGCCACCCUUUUUAAUGAUCCUUCCGCAGGUUCACCUACGGAAA